AUAUAUCGAUCGAUUGAUGUCAGUGAUUUCUGACACAAGAGGCGCUAAAGCGCUAGGAUUUCUAACCUUGCAGCCUCGCACGCAUCGAUCAAUGUAUAUAUCGAUCGAUUGAUGUCAGUGAUAUAGUAUACAAUACAACAGAUAAAACAGAUCAGUUGACAAGUGAGGUUAUCGUAACCGUGUGUCUUUUUCUCGGAUCUCGGAUUAACGUGUUCGGAGGAUCUUUUACUCGAGGAGAAUUACUCCGUCGCAUAUUCUAUUCUUAUAAUUUGUUUACUUAUCGAUGUUCCGGUUAGAGGGUUAAAAUCUUACCAAGAUGGAAAAUAUGGAGUUAGAUGCUUUGGAAAAGGAAUUUGUCACGUUGUCCGAGACGUUGCCGGAAAUGCAAGAAAUUGAGCCGGUUAGAGCCGCAUGAGCCGCACAGCCAUCG